rnacentral:rRNA from 1 species
AUACGGAGGGUGCAAGCGUUAUCCGGAUUCACUGGGUUUAAAGGGUGCGUAGGUGGGCAGGUAAGUCAGUGGUGAAAUCUCCGGGCUUAACCCGGAAACUGCCGUUGAUACUAUCUGUCUUGAAUAUAGUGGAGGUGAGCGGAAUAUGUCAUGUAGCGGUGAAAUGCUUAGAUAUGACAUAGAACACCCAUUGCGAAGGCAGCUCGCUACACUAUUAUUGACACUGAGGCACGAAAGCGUGGGGAUCAAACAGGAUUAGAUACCCUGGUAGUCCACGCCCUAAACGAUGGAUACUCGACAUCAGCGAUACACAGUUGGUGUCUGGGCGGAAGCAUUAAGUAUCCCACCUGGGAAGUACGACCGCAAGGUUGAA